ACCCGGCUGACGAGUCCCAAGUAGGACGAAACGCGCGUCAAACUAUAU
rnacentral:hammerhead_ribozyme from 1 species